UGGCGGCGUGCUUAACACAUGCAAGUCGAACGGAAAGGCCUGCCAGCUUGCUGCGGGUACUCGAGUGGCGAACGAGUGAGUAACACGUGGGUGAUCUGCCUUGCACUUCGGGAUAAGCUUGGGAAACUGGGUCUAAUACCGGAUAGGACAGCUGUUUAGUGUCAGUUGUGGAAAGUUUUUUCGGUGCAAGAUGAGCUCGCGGCCUAUCAGCUUGUUGGUGGGGUAAUGGCCUACCAAGGCGUCGACGGGUAGCCGGCCUGAGAGGGUGUACGGCCACAUUGGGACUGAGAUACGGCCCAGACUCCUACGGGAGGCAGCAGUGGGGAAUAUUGCACAAUGGGCGGAAGCCUGAUGCAGCGACGCCGCGUGGGGGAUGAAGGCCUUCGGGUUGUAAACUCCUUUCGACAGGGCACGAAGCGUAAGUGACGGUACCUGUAUAAGAAGCACCGGCUAACUACGUGCCAGCAGCCGCGGUAAUACGUCAGGGUGCGAGCGUUGUCCGGAAUUACUGGGCGUAAAGAGCUCGUAGGUGGAAUGUCGCGUCGUCUGUGAAAUUCCGGGGCUUAACUCCGGGCGUGCAGGCGAUACGGGCUGGACUUGAGUGCCUGUAGGGGACACUGGCAAUCCCUGGUGUACCGGUGAACUGCGCAAAUCUCAGGAGGAAACACCCGGAUGGGCCGACAAGGCCAGGUCACACUCGGACAAACC
rnacentral:rRNA from 1 species